rnacentral:rRNA from 1 species
GACGUAGGGUGCGAGCGUUGUCCGGAUUUAUUGGGCGUAAAGAGCUCGUAGGCGGCUCGUCGCGUCAGCUGUGAAAACCCGCGGCUUAACUGUGGGCUUGCAGCUGAUACGGGCGGGCUAGAGUUCGGUAGGGGAGACUGGAAUUCCUGGUGUAGCGGUGAAAUGCGCAGAUAUCGGGAAGAACACCUAUGGCGAAGGCAGCUCUCUGGGACGGUACUGACGCUGAGACGCGAAAGCGUGGGGAGCGAACAGG